UACGUAGGUGGCGAGCGUUGUCCGGAUUUACUGGGCGUAAAGGGAGCGUAGGCGGUCUUUUAAGUGGGGUGUGAAAUCCCUGGGCUUAACCCAGGAAUUGCAUUCCAUACUGGGAGACUAGAGUGCAGGAGAGGAAAGUGGAAUUCCAAGUGUAGCGGCGAAAUGCGUAGAGAUUUGGAGGAACACCAGUGGCGAAGGCGACUUUCUGGACUGUAACUGACGCUGAGGCUCGAGAGCGUGGGGAGCAAACAGG
rnacentral:rRNA from 1 species